rnacentral:rRNA from 1 species
GACGAACGCUGGCGGCGUGCUUAACACAUGCAAGUCGAACGGAAAGGCCCUGCUUUUGUGGGGUGCUCGAGUGGCGAACGGGUGAGUAACACGUGAGUAACCUGCCCUUGACUUUGGGAUAACUUCAGGAAACUGGGGCUAAUACCGGAUAGGAGCUCCUGCUGCAUGGUGGGGGUUGGAAAGUUUCGGCGGUUGGGGAUGGACUCGCGGCUUAUCAGCUUGUUGGUGGGGUAGUGGCUUACCAAGGCUUUGACGGGUAGCCGGCCUGAGAGGGUGACCGGCCACAUUGGGCUUGAGUCCGCCCCCGGCGCCCACCGGGGGGCGGCGGGGGGAAUUAUUGACAAGGGGGCGCACCCCGGAUGCGGCACCCCCGCUGGGGGGAGGGCGGCUUGCGGUUUUAACCCCGCUUGCGCCUGGGAGGAAGCUGGGGUGAGGGUAGGGGGAAAAGAACCCCCGCCUACCUACGUC